UUUUUUUUUUUUUGUGUGAAAAUAUCCUUAUGUGCUUUCUUGCAGGAUUUAAUGCCUCUCUCAUGUUUGUAUUCUAUGAAGAGCCGGGAGCAGCUCACAGAGGGCCGGAUUGGACCCUCUGGAGGACCACUUUUGGACCACGGGCCUCAUGUUGGACACCCCUGCUCCAGACCAACGAGGCUGAUUUAAACUGAAGACAGCAUCCUGACUUUCAAACAUACAGAAAAACUCAAACUGUGUGUGUCAGCAACACGGCAGGAAAACAAAUAAGAAUGACAGCUCCUGUCAGCCGAUAUGUUCCCAAUGCUUCUGUUCUCACACUUCAGGGGUUUUGUGGAUCAGAUAAGUACAUAUCAGGUUCCUCAUAUCUUCAGCAGACAUCAUACCUGCUUCAGAAGUUCUACACCCAUCCUGCUCAUUCAGUCAAAGGGCUGGACGUCACCGUUUCCACACAAACCUCUCAUUACGUUUACAAUUUAUAAAUGAUUCGCCCUGCUGCUGUUAAUUGACUGUCCUCGAACCGCAGCCGCUGGAAAUAAAUGGAGCUGAGUGUUUUUAAGGCCCUCGUCUGAACGCUCUCUCUAAACAAAUGAGGGUGAUAUUAUGAGGCUAUUAAGCCUCUUUUACUAAGCCUUUCUAUUAAGCCUGGCAGCAAAAAAAGAAAGAAAAAUGAUGCAACUGUUUCCCAAAUUACAGAAAAAAAAGCUUAAAUAUCACCAGGAAGAAUGUAAGUGAGAUAAUUAAUGUUUACUGUUGUGAAGAGUCAUGAUCCUAAAACACCAGAUUAGGUUUUUGCACACAAACAGGCUUGUUGUUUUCACUCUGCUGCUCGUAAAAUCUCGUUUAUUGCUUGAGUGCAGGCAGGCAGGUACAGCAGAGGGUGUUUCUGUGGGUUUCAUUGGGAUGGAUCUCCUGUCUGGUCCUUCUUUCAGCCUUCGCUUUGGAUCUUGUCAGCAGGCUCAUCACAUACGUUGCUGCUUCCAAACACAUCUGCACUCCCCUGCUGAACACAAAUUGCACGACUCGUACAGUUUUCUCUGCACGACCAGAACGAGGACAGAGUCUGCGUCUUUAUUUUUUCCCCCUUUGCUGCCUUUCUUUGUGCUUAUUUUCUCCUCAAAUUCCUCCGCUGCUCCUCUUUGUUUUCUUUCUGUCUCAUUUACAUGCCUGCUCGGCUCAAACUGUUUUUCUGAACACCACCACAUAACCGCAUAAUAAAUUCCCCCUCUAAUUUAUUCUGAAAGUUGAAGCAUCUAAACAGAUCAAUCAAAAGUUUGUAAAUCCAUGUCUUCCUCCCUCGCCGGCUUUUUUUCCUGCUUCCACAUGCACACGCUAAACGCUCUCUAACACACCUACUCAGAUUUGAAAUUGAGGUUCUUAGUGGGAGUAUUUCUUGCUCAUCUCGAGUGUAAAGGUCAAAGAGGUCGCCGCAUGCAUUCAUUGUUCCGUACCGUGGGCGUCAGGAAGCCCUUUGAGAUUCCAACUGUGAUUUGGAGGCUGUGCAGAUAAACUUCGCUUGCUGCUGGUGAGGCGAAGACGGAGGAGCGUGGAGACUGACGUGGUGGAGUGUGAGGUGUUUUGAUGGAGUAAGGUGAUGAUGGAGACUCAGCAGAAACACCAGAUGGAUCGUCUGUCGUGUGGAUCAUCAUCCUCCCUCUUACCGCCGUGACGCUAAACAGAAAAACAACAUGGCAAAUACUUCUAACAGUACGAGAGAAAUGAGUAAAAACGACAAGAAAAAGAAAGUUUCUCUCAGAUGAAUGUUCCCUCUCUCCACUCACGACUGCAGCAACUCAUCGGCCGGAGGGAGAGUUGUGACUGAAUGACUCAGCCCCAUGUUUUUACAUUUUUAUUAAAAAUCAUUUUGUUGUGAA